rnacentral:lncRNA from 1 species
ACUCCCCAGCCGCCCCUCUGAAGUGUUCCGGUGUCACCGUGGCCACAAGGAGGCAGGGGACGGGGGCUUCCUGAAGGAGGCCCCCUAAGGGGAAGGGGGCUACAAGGCUGGCCAGAGUGCUGGCCGCGCGGCUGUGCACAGGGCCUUGAGCCCCUCCGGUCGUCAAGCCUUGCUUGAAAUGCGUAAAUGCGGAAAGGUGAAGUGGCUGACCCGGCUCACACCACUUUAAGUAGCGGAGUGGGGUUCCUAGCCAGGCCUAUGGGACUCCCACUGGAGCCUUUCCCCCUCUGGGGCUGGGGCUGGACCCACAGGCUGCCGGAGCAGGCAGAAGGGGAGGGGCCCAAGGCCCAGACUCCAGGGCCUCGUCUGGAUCAUCAACCCGGCUUUGCCCAUUCAGCGCAGGCCUCCGUUUCCAGGCCUGUCUCCCCAUCCACACCGUCUCUCAAGAUGAGGAAACUGAGGCACAGAGCGGUCCAGUCAUGUGCCAGCCAGUGGUGAAGCUAGGAGCCCCUUCACUAAGCACAGUGUUAUCUUGCUUCUCCUCCAACGUUGCUCAGCGUCUGAAAUUCAGCUUGAUGUAUUUAAGUCAGACACAAGAAAGGACUUCUAGACCAAGGAGUUUAGAUGCAGAAAUGGGAGAUGAGGAAACUGAGUCUCAGAGAAGCAGGCACAGAGGUUGAGGCCUUAAGCCUGAGGUCCCUGCUGCCACCCAGCCUUCCCCAAGAGGAGCAGUGACUUGCUCAGCAUCACCUACAGCUCCAUGAGACCCUGGCUGAAGUCUGCUGACCUCCUCCGGGACUGUGGGAUGGCCAGGACAGCUGACCAGGAGCCACUUUCACGGCACAUCCCCUCCUGCAAAGGAGGGAGCAUGAGGACCCUCAGCAGCCCAGACAUGUACCAUCAGGCGGUGCCCCACCCCAGCCCCACGGGACACUGUCGAUUUGUUGAUAGCCCCCCUGCCCC